rnacentral:rRNA from 1 species
UACAGAGGGUGCGAGCGUUGUCCGGAAUCACUGGGCGUAAAGGGCGCGUAGGUGGCGACCCAAGUCUGUGGUGAAAGCUCGACGCUCAACGUCGAGUCGGCCAUAGAUACUGGGUUGCUUGAGCACUGUAGAGGCAGAUGGAAUUCCGGGUGUAGCGGUGGAAUGCGUAGAGAUCCGGAGGAAGACCGGUGGCGAAGGCGGUCUGCUGGGCAGUUUCUGACACUGAUGCGCGACAGCGUGGGGAGCAAACAGG